CUUGGAAAGCUUCUGGAUUUGGUGAUUGGUUUUGCAGUAUACUAAAACAUGGAAGCAUUUAAUAGUGAAGAACUUUUAAAGCUUUUCACACAAUAUGCUCUGAAAGAGGGUAGUUCUAAUCUGCUUUCCAUGUCUGGACUUCAAAGUUUGCUGCAAAAUCACUUCCCAAAACUUUUGGGUUCCCUGAGUCUUAAUGACAUUGCCAAAUAUGCUGAUGUUGAUAAAGAUGGAAAAGCCAACUUUAACGAUGUCAAAGCACUGUUGACCAAGCUAAGUAGUAUGGCUGGAUUAUCUAACAUAGCUGGGCUAUCUGGUUUGGUCUCUUAAAGAAUCCUGUAAAGAGGGUGAUGGAGGCAGAGUAAACUUAAGAUCUCAGAACUAAUCUAUAAUGGACAUAUAAAAUGUUUACAUUUGUACAAAGAAUCUUUGUAAAAGCAAACUGAAAUACUGAAUAAAGACUGAUAUUUAUUUAAAACCA